rnacentral:rRNA from 1 species
GACGAACCGAGCAAACGUUAUUCGGAAUCACUGGGCUUAAAGGGCGCGUAGGCGGGCAUUCAAGUCCGUGGUGAAAUCCGGCAGCUUAACUGUCGAACUGCCGCGGAUACUGGGUGUCUCGAGGGAGGUAGGGGCGCGCGGAACUAUUGGUGGAGCGGUGAAAUGCGUUGAUAUCAAUAGGAACUCCGGUGGCGAAGGCGGCGCGCUGGACCUCUUCUGACGCUGAGGCGCGAAAGCCAGGGGAGCAAACGGG